ensembl:snoRNA small nucleolar RNA, C/D box 72
UGCUUACCAAUGAUGGUGAAAAAUAAAUGUCUGAACAAAUGAAUCAAAGUGAUAUCAAUGUUUUCUCUGAGGUAAGCA